AGUUUGAUCCUGGCUCAGAUUGAACGCUGGCGGCAUGCCUUACACAUGCAAGUCGAACGGCAGCGGACCUUCGGGUGCCGGCGAGUGGCGAACGGGUGAGUAAUAUAUCGGAACGUGCCUUUCAGUGGGGGAUAACGUAGCGAAAGUUACGCUAAUACCGCAUAUUCUCUGAGGAGGAAAGCAGGGGACCUUCGGGCCUUGCGCUGAUAGAGCGGCCGAUAUCAGAUUAGCUAGUUGGUGGGGUAAAGGCCUACCAAGGCGACGAUCUGUAGCGGGUCUGAGAGGAUGAUCCGCCACACUGGGACUGAGACACGGCCCAGACUCCUACGGGAGGCAGCAGUGGGGAAUUUUGGACAAUGGGCGCAAGCCUGAUCCAGCCAUGCCGCGUGAGUGAAGAAGGCCUUCGGGUUGUAAAGCUCUUUCGGCCGGGAAGAAAUCGCACAGGCUAAUACCUUGUGUGGAUGACGGUACCGGAAUAAGAAGCACCGGCUAACUACGUGCCAGCAGCCGCGGUAAUACGUAGGGUGCGAGCGUUAAUCGGAAUUACUGGGCGUAAAGCGUGCGCAGGCGGUUUGGUAAGACAGGCGUGAAAUCCCCGGGCUCAACCUGGGAACUGCGCUUGUGACUGCCUCACUAGAGUACGGCAGAGGGGGGUGGAAUUCCACGUGUAGCAGUGAAAUGCGUAGAGAUGUGGAGGAACACCGAUGGCGAAGGCAGCCCCCUGGGCCGAUACUGACGCUCAUGCACGAAAGCGUGGGUAGCAAACAGGAUUAGAUACCCUGGUAGUCCAAUCC
rnacentral:rRNA from 1 species